rnacentral:tRNA from 2 species
GGGCGCGUGGCCAAGCCUGGAUAUGGCAGCAGCCUCCUAAGCUGAAGAUCGAGGGUUCAAAUCCCUCUGCGCCCG